UGCUCCUUGUUAUAACAGUCCACCCGGUGCCAGUGAAAGGGGAUGAUCGUAUCUGUUUUAUUUUAUUAUUUUAUACUUAUAUAUUUAUAGAUUUAAAAAAUCUAGCUAUUCCUUCGUUUUAAAGCCCCGUGGAACUGUUGCUAGCUUGGAGGCAUUUUGGAAAUAAUGAAUUUACUGCACCUCUUGGUCGCCUCCCCCUUUUCCACCCCUAGGGGCAAAAGGCACUACAUUUCCUUUGGAGCAAGCAAAGAAUAAGGAAGCGCCGAGUUGUAAAUACCUUUUAUUAUUAGUGUUUUUUUUUCCUGUUAUCUCCCCACAGUUCUAUGCUGUAGAAAGCAGAGGAUCGCUGUGUUUUGUCCCCACCUUAUUUUUUUUUUAUUAUUUAAUUUUUUCUCCCUGUAAUAUUUUCUUGAAGCGCCACACAGCCUCACCGGAUCAGACAGAGGGAGAGAGAGAUAGACAGAGAGGGAGAGAAAGAAAAGAGAGAGAGAGAGAGAGAAAGAGAGAGAGAGAGAAGGGGAGAGGGAGACAGAGUGAGACAACAUUGAGCCCUUUCACACAUGGAUUCACUGCUAGCUGUACUAGCAGGCUGCUCGCAACCCAACAGUGGAUGUGAACAGAGGAGGGAGCAGAUGUGAAUUAUGGCACUUAUUGAAAAUAGCAUCCCCUUGAAAGAGGGGGGAUGUUAAAGAACUGAAAAAAAUGGACAAAGCUGUGUGUAGCAACCUGCCCUUUUCCUCGCGCUCAUGCUGAAAGUAAAUUAAAAGUAAAAAUUUGUAAUGAAAAUUACACAGUUGACUAUUCAGUGCGGCAGAUAUGGAAACAGCUACCAGCAUUGCACAGAUAAGUAAUUCAAUAUCCUCCAGCCUGCUUCAAGAAUGCAGAUAAAAUGAUAUGCACUGUGCAAAUAUGUGCACAGCCUUAUACCAGGGUGUAUAAUAUAGAGAGAGCUGGAAUGACAUUCAUGUUCUUACUCCUGAUCAGAUUGUGACUCUCCGGUCUUGUCAUUGUAGGGUGCCCUGCGUGGGGAUCGGAUUCUCCUGGGUGGAGGAAGCUGUGACACAGAGGACACACAAUGGA